AUUGAACGCUGGCGGCAUGACUUACACAUGCAAGUCGAACGGCAGCAUGGAGAGCUUGCUCUCUGAUGGCGAGUGGCGAACGGGUGAGUAAUGCAUCGGAACGUACCAUGUAAUGGGGGAUAACGUAGCGAAAGUUACGCUAAUACCGCAUACGACCUGAGGGUGAAAGCAGGGGAUCGCAAGACCUUGCGUUAUACGAGCGGCCGUUGUCAGAUUAGCUAGUUGGUGAGGUAAAGGCUCACCAAGGCGACGAUCUGUAGCGGGUCUGAGAGGAUGAUCCGCCACACUGGGACUGAGACACGGCCCAGACUCCUACGGGAGGCAGCAGUGGGGAAUUUUGGACAAUGGGGGCAACCCUGAUCCAGCCAUGCCGCGUGAGUGAAGAAGGCCUUCGGGUUGUAAAGCUCUUUCGGCCGGGAAGAAAUCGCACAGGCUAAUACUCUGUGUGGAUGACGGUACCGGCAUAAGAAGCACCGGCUAACUGCGUGCCAGCCGCCGCGGUAA
rnacentral:rRNA from 1 species